UUGGAGGAGCGGAGCUGGGACCUGUGGCAGCUGCUGUGUGCCCACAGGGCUGAGGUGUGGGGCUGCUCCUGGACUCUCUUCCCCCAGGAGGAGCUGGAGAGUAGAUGCCCCUCCCUGUUCUCUGGCUCUGCAGCGUGCCAGACACACAGCAGGUCUCUAGGAAACACUGCAACACUGCUGACACUGAUAUGACCAGAAAAUCCAGCCAUGAAGCCGUGUGUCUGGUGACCGCUAGAGAGAGCUGAAAGGCAAGCAUCUAAAGCCAUUUUGAAGCACAACUUCCUCACCCCUUAGAAGGGAAGAAGUUUUCCCGCUGAUACUCCUUUGGAAAUGAACACGCUACAUAGUGAAUGAAGUGGACAAGUCCUUAGCUUUCCUUGUCACUGAUGAACUGUGGAUCUGUAAGAGCCCCUUCCUAAGCCUCAUGGAGAUUCCCCAUUUCAGAUCGAGAUAAAAAGUGACUUUAGGGUCGCUCUUGGCUUCGACAGUCUUGUCUCUCUCAUGUAUCCCCUUUUGUUCCAGACUGUGCCUGUGGGGUUGUGUAACUGAGCUAUUCUAACAUCAUUAAGUAGCCCAGCAAUAAAAUAAAGGAGGACAGAUGGCGGUCCAUUGUAUUUGUGAA
rnacentral:lncRNA from 1 species